GACGAACGCUGGCGGCGUGCUUAACACAUGCAAGUCGAACGGAAAGGCCCUGCUUUUGUGGGGUGCUCGAGUGGCGAACGGGUGAGUAACACGUGAGUAACCUGCCCUUGACUUUGGGAUAACUUCAGGAAACUGGGGCUAAUACCGGAUAGGAGCUCCUGCUGCAUGGUGGGGGUUGGAAAGUUUCGGCGGUUGGGGAUGGACUCGCGGCUUAUCAGCUUGUUGGGGGGGUAGUGGCUUACCAAGGCUUUGACGGGUAGCCGGCCUGGGAGGGUGACCGGCCACAUGGGGACUGAGAUACGGCCCAGACUCCUACGGGAGGCAGCAGUGGGGAAUAUUGCGCAAUGGGCGGAAGCCUGAUGCAGCAACGCCGCGUGCGGGAUGACGGCCUUCGGGUUGUAAACCGCUUUCGCCUGUGACGAGGCGUGAGUGACGGUAAUGGGUAAAGAAGCACCGGCUAACUACGUG
rnacentral:rRNA from 1 species